rnacentral:tRNA from 1 species
GCGGGAGUGGCGGAACUGGCAGACGCGCUGGACUUAGGAUCCAGUGGGUAACUCCGUGCGGGUUCGAGUCCCGCCUUCCGCA